rnacentral:rRNA from 1 species
GAUGAACGCUGGCGGCGUGCCUAACACAUGCCAGUCGAGCGAACAGAUGAGGAGUUUGCUCCUCUGACGUUAGCGGCGGACGGGUGAGUAACAUGUGGAUAACUUACCUAUAAGACUGGGAUAACUUCGGGAAACCGGAGCUAAUACCGGAUAAUAUAUUGAACCGCAUGGUUCAAUAGUGAAAGACGGCUUUGCUGUUACUUAUAGAUGGAUUGGCGCGUGAUUAGCGAGUUGGUGGGGGAAAGGCCUACCAAGGCGACGAUGCGUAGCGGGCCGGAGAGGACGACGAGCCACACUGGGACUGAGACACGGCCCAGACUCCGACGGGAGGCAGCAGUGGGGAAUUUUGGACAAUGGGCGAAAGCCUGAUCCAGCAAUGCCGCGUGGGUGAAGAAGGCCUGCGGGUGGUAAAGCACUUUUGUCCGGAAAGAAAUCCUUGGCCCUAAUACGGUCGGGGGAUGACGGUACCGGAAGAAUAAGCAACGGCUAACUACGUG